UACGUAGGGGGCAAGCGUUGUCCGGAUUUAUUGGGCGUAAAGCGCGUGUAGGCGGCCCUGCAAGUCGGGUGUGAAAUCCCAUGGCUCAACCAUGGAAGUGCACUCGAAACUGCAGGACUAGAGUCCUGGAGAGGAAGGUGGAAUGCUUGGUGUAGAGGUGAAAUUCGUAGAUAUCAAGCGGAACACCGGUGGCGAAGGCGGCCUUCUGGACAGUGACUGACGCUGAGACGCGAAAGCGUGGGGAGCAAACAGG
rnacentral:rRNA from 1 species